AGUGGAUGGGGAGCAACCUAGUUGUGCGUGUGUAAAGGUAGUGCCAAAAAGCGGUGAUCAUGAUGAAAAUCAAUUCCCGGUACCCGAAACCGACACAGGUGGGCAAGUAGAGAAUACUAAGGGGCGCGAGGUAACUCUCUCCAAGGAACUCGGCAAAAUGACCCCGUAACUUAGGGAGAAGGGGUGCCACCGAGAGGUGGUCGCAGUGAAGAGGCCCAGGCGACUGUUUAGCAAAAACAUAGGUCUCUGCAAACUCGAAAGAGGAGGUAUAGGGGCUGACGCCUGCCCAGUGCCGGAAGGUUAAAGAAGUUGGUCAGUCUUAGGAUGAAGCUAGCGACUGAAGCCCCGGUGAACGGCGGCCGUAACUAUAACGGUCCUAAGGUAGCGAAAUUCCUUGUCGGGUAAGUUCCGACCCGCACGAAAGGCGUAACGAUCUGGGCGCUGUCUCGGAGAGAGGCUCGGCGAAAUAGGAUUGUCUGUGAAGAUACGGACUACCUGCAUUUGGACAGAAAGACCCUAUGAAGCUUUACUAUAGCUUGGAAUUGUGUUCGGGCUUCCUGUGCGCAGGAUAGGUGGGAGGCGUAGAAGGUAUUCUUGUGGGGAUACUGGAGCCAACGGUGAGAUACCACUCUCAGGAGGCUAGAAUUCUAACUUAAUUAAGGACAGUUUCAGGUGGGUAGUUUGACUGGGGCGGUCGCCUCCAAAAAGGUAACGGAGGCGUACAAAGGUUCCCUCAGACUGGUUGGAAAUCAGUCGCAGAGUGCAAAGGCAGAAGGGAGCUUGACUGCGAGAAGUACAGUUCGAGCAGGGUGGAAACACGGUCUUAGUGAUCCGACGGUGCUGUGUGGAAGGGCCGUCGCUCAACGGAUAAAAGUUACUCUAGGAUAACAGGCUGAUCUCCCCCAAGAGUUCACAUCGACGGGGAGGUUUGGCACCUCGAUGUCGGCUCAUCGCAACCUGGGGCGGAAGUACGUCCCAAGGGUUGGGCUGUUCGCCCAUUAAAGCGGUACGUGAGCUGGGUUCAGAACGUCGUGAGACAGUUCGGUCCAUAUCCGAUGUAGGCGUGAGAAUAUUGAGAGGAGCCUUCCUUAGUACGAGAGGACCGGGAAGGACGCACCGCUGGUGUACCUGUUAUGAUGCCAAUUGUAAACGCAGGGUAGCCAAGUGCGGAGAGGAUAACCGCUGAAAGCAUCUAAGUGGGAAGCCCACCUCAAGAUGAGUAUUCUGGUGUAAGGUCACGGGAAGACGACCCGUAAAUAGGCACGAGGUGGAAGUGCAGAGAUGUAUGAAGCCGAAGUGUACUAAUAGACCGUCGGCUUGAC
rnacentral:rRNA from 1 species